UACAAUGUACAUUAUUUCUGAUACACAGAAAACCCAGUGGAAACUCCUUUGAAUUUUGAAUCGCUAUGGAAAGGCCAACUGAAGUGUUCUGUUUUAUUCCUCCCACAGUCCACAAGCAGUUGAGAAAUGACAUUAAAAGGGUCAAGAACUGCUUGUGUUAAAAGGGCAGCCUUAUGAAGAUUGCAGGGGAGCCACAUAAAAUGCCCAUCAAUCAGGAAGAAAUCACUAGACUCUACAUGCCCCCAGUUCUGCCCAUCUGAUUAUACUUCAUGUGCAAGUUUCGUCAGUGCAUCUCCUAAUGGCAUUUUGACCUUUGGAACCACACUGCUGGACCUGAUCCUAUGCUCACUGGGUAAAUAUCUGUGCAUACUGACAUUGGCUCCGAAUCCAGAGUGAGAGAACUGACUUACUCAUCCCUUCACAACCUCAGGACACUGGUACCAACAUUCACAUACAUAUUUAACACCAACCUGGCUGUUUUCAGUUUUCUAUUCUUAGAUUGCAAAUGAAAAUACAUUGGAUCUGAACAUCCUUGUUUACACUGUCGCUCUACCUGAA